UGGCCAUCCGAGUUGUAAUCUAGAGAAGUGUUACCCGCGUCGACCCGUGUACAAGUCUCCUGGAAUGGAGCGUCAUAGAGGGUGAGAAUCCCGUCUUUGACACGGACUACCGAGGCUUUGUGGUGCGCUCUCAAAGAGUCGAGUUGUUUGGGAAUGCAGCUCAAAAUGGGUGGUAAAUUCCAUCUAAAGCUAAAUAUUGGCGAGAGACCGAUAGCGAACAAGUACCGUGAGGGAAAGAUGAAAAGAACUUUGGAAAGAGAGUUAAACAGUACGUGAAAUUGCUGAAAGGGAAACGCUUGAAGUCAGUCGCGUUAGCCGGAAAUCAGCCUUGCUUUUGCGGGGUGUACUUUCUGGUUGACGGGCCAGCAUCAGUUUUGACCGGUGGAAAAAGUCUGGAGGAAUGUGGCAUCUUCGGAUGUGUUAUAGCCUCUAGUCGUAUACAUCGGUUGGGACUGAGGAACUCAGCACUUGUGCUUAGGAUGCUGGCAUAAUGGCUUUAAUCGACCCGUCUUGAAACACGGACCAAGGAGUCUAACAUGCCUGCGAGUGUUUGGGUGGAAAACCCGGACGCGUAAUGAAAGUGAAAGUUGAGAUCCUUGUCAUGGGGAGCAUCGACGCCCGGACCAGAAGUUCUCUGACGGCCCUGCGGUAGAGCAUGUAUGUUGGGACCCGAAAGAUGGUGAACUAUGCCUGAAUAGGGUGAAGCCAGAGGAAACUCUGGUGGAGGCUCGUAGC
rnacentral:rRNA from 1 species